UGAAUCUUGAGUUAGUCUUGGUUAAUUAUAGCAGGCGGCUGACAGUGGCAGGGCAGAACUCACUGCACUCAUGUCAGUAAACAAUGACGCACUGAAAAGUGAAGUUAGGAAAACAUUUAACAGUUAACUUCCCGAAUCAUCAAAUUUGAUUGCAGUUUUCUUAGUUGAUUUUUUUUUUCUGUUUUCCUUUUUAAAAGCUGUCUUAUACAGAAGUGAUUUUAUCUAAUGGUCUGUUCUAUCACUGGUAACAGGAGACUGGUAGCAUUUCUCCAGUAGUGUAUCUGCUGCUGACUUCAGAAGGAGGCCUCUUUUCUUUUUUUUUCUGUUUCCUGUUUUUUGUUAUUUUAGCCAUACGAAUAAAGAAUGAGGAAGAUGGAACAGUUUUCUGUAGAGCCUUAUGUAUUUGCGGUUUCUCAUUCUGUCUCUGUCCUUGCCUAGCAAUUAAAGCAUCUCUUAGGGCUCCGUCAAAUAGGCUGUUUGUUUCAGUAGCAUUGCACAUCUCAUAAUCCCAUUUUCCUUGUUGAAAUGAAAGCUAGGAACUUAGAUAUAUCCCUGGAUUCUCGUGUUUGCCACAUAUGUAUGCGUACAUUCUAGAUGAGGAAAAUGAGGCUAAACAGUGAAAUAUCUAGCUUGAAACUCCAUCAUCAGAACA
rnacentral:lncRNA from 1 species